UUAAAAAGCUCGUAGUUGGAUCUCGGCAGGUAGGGGGCGGUUCGUUUCUGACGGCACUGCCCCAUUUACCUGUGUUUUUGACGGAGGUUUCACGGUGAUUUUCAUCGAUUGUCGUGAUACGCCGUCAGGUUUACUUUGAAAAAAUUAGAGUGCUCAAAGCAGGCUACAAGCUUGAAUAUUUGUGCAUGGAAUAAUGGAAUAGGAAGACGUUUCUAUUUUUUUGGUUUUCGGAAAUUGACUUAAUGAUUAAUAGGGACA
rnacentral:rRNA from 1 species